GAUUAAGAACGUAGCGAAAUGCGAUAAGUAAUGUGAAUUGCAGAAUUCAGUGAAUCAUCGAAUCUUUGAACGCACAUUGCGCCCCCUGGAAUUCCGGGGGGCAUGCCUGUUCGAGCGUCUCAGGGACGAACCCUCGCGCGGGUGUACGCGCGGUCGUGGCUGCGGUGGCGUGCCCGAGGCGGCGGCCACCGCGCUGGAAUCCAUGGGCGGACGCCUGCCGCGUGGCCGAGCGUGAUAUGACGCAUUGGCGCUCGCACGCGGAGAGGCUGCCAGCCCUGGCCCGUCUGUCGGGCGGGGGAGAGCAAGACACGUGAACUCCUCGAAUCAGGUAGGGAUACCCGCUGAACUUAAGCAUAUCAAUAAGCGGAGGA
rnacentral:misc_RNA from 1 species